GACGUAGGGCGCGAGCGUUGUCCGGAUUUAUUGGGCGUAAAGAGCUCGUAGGCGGCUUGUCGCGUCGACUGUGAAAUCCCCGAGCUCAACUUGGGAAUUGCAAUGGAUACUGGCAGGCUGGAGUAUGGUAGAGGAAGGUGGAAUUCCCGGUGUAGCAGUGAAAUGCGUAGAGAUCGGGAGGAACACCAGUGGCGAAGGCGGCCUUCUGGACCAAUACUGACGCUCAUGCACGAAAGCGUGGGGAGCAAACAGG
rnacentral:rRNA from 1 species